rnacentral:rRNA from 1 species
CCCUUAGAUGUCCUGGGCCGCACGCGCGCUACACUGAAGGGAUCAGCGUGUUUUCCCUUCCCGAGAGGGACGGGUAACCCGCUGAACCCCCUUCGUGGUAGGGAUCGGAGCUUGCAAUUGUUCUCCGUGAACCAGGAAUUCCCAGUAAGCGCAAGUCAUAAGCUUGCGUUGAUUACGUCCCUGCCCUUUGUACACACCGCCCGUCGCUACUACCGAUUGAACGUUUUAGUGAGGUAUUUGGACUGGGCCUUGGGAGGUUUCGGCCUCCCUUGUUGCUCGGAAAGACUCCCAAACUUGAGCGUUUAGAGGAAGUAAAAGUCGUAACA